UCAUACGCUUGUCUCAAAGAUUAAGCCAUGCAAGUGUAAGUUCAGGCCGAUUGAAUGGGCGAAACCGCGAACGGCUCAGGAACCGGACGUAAUCCAUUAGAUCGUACCGACCCUACUUGGAUAACUGUGGCAAUUCUAGAGCUAAUACAUGCAACGAUGCUCCGACUUCUUUCGUGGAAGGAAGAGCGCUUUUAUUAGACCAAGACCGAACGAUCGGCAUCGCGGCGAGCGUCGUCGAGAUCGAGGUGCCUCAGCGAUUUAGUCUUCGUUCAUAACAAAGGCGGUCGCUGUGAUCCUAUCUCGUUCGUUUGUUCGUUAGUUCGCAAGCGUUCCGUUCGAAAUCGCAAAUAUUGGUGACUCUGGAUAACUUUUGUCAGAUCGCAGGGCGUUCGCGCCGGCGACGGGUCUUUCGAACGUCCGCCCCAUCAACUUUCGACGGUCGGUUAGGCGCCGACCGUGGUGAUAACGGGUAACGGGGAAUCGGGGUUCGAUUCCGGAGAGGGAGCAUGCGAAACGGCUACCACAUCCAAGGACGGCAGCAGGCGCGCAAAUUACCCAAUCCCGGCACGGGGAGGUAGUGACGAAAAAUAUCGGUGCGGGUCUCGGAAUGAGAAUUCGCAAUCGGAAUGAGAACAAUCGAAAUCCUUUAUCGAGGAUCCAUUGGAGGGCAAGUCUGGUGCCAGCAGCCGCGGUAAUUCCAGCUCCAAUAGCGUAUGCUAAAGUUGUUGCGUUUAAAAAGCUCGUAGUCGGAUGUCGGAGUUUAGGGUGACGAGCGGAUCGUCGUUCGGUGUAUUAGCGAUGCUUUUUGCGAAGAAAGGGAAUCGCAUAGGCUGUUUUGCUACCACUCGGGUGCAAAAGCUCCUAGUGCAGGUGCCUCGUAGUCGAUCGUUACGUGGUUGCUUCUUCGCCGGAUGCGAAGGCAAAAGCGUCGUUCGCGUCGUGCGUGCCUCGAGUGACGCGCGCUCGGGUAAGAAAACUCCCAUCGAUUCCUUCGCACUUUUUCGCUUUUCCCGUUCGUUCGAUCGUCGUUCUCGUGUAACCCGGCUCUCGGGCGGUAUGGAGAUCCGCACAAAUGGUCGGACUUCUCGCGAUGCUUUUGACCGAGUGUCGCGAGCGGCUGACACGUUUACUUUGAAAAAAUUAGAGUGCUCAAAGCGAGCGGGCAUCGAACGAAAGCCGGAAUAACGAUGCAUGGAAUAAUGGAAAAGGACCUCGGUUCUGUUCUGUUGGUCUUCGGAAGCGGAGGUAAUGAUCAAGAGGGACGNCCGCGGGCAUUGGUAUUGCNACGUUAGAGGUGAAAUUCNUAGAUCGCCGCAAGNCCGACNACAGCGANAGCGUUNNCCAAGNACGUUUUCUUUGNUCAAGAGCGAGAGUCAGAGGAUCGAAMACGAUCAGAYACCGUCGUAGUUCUGACCGUAAACNAUGCCGACCGGCCGUGCGUCGGAGUUAACGACCCGAUACGCAGCCACUCGGGAAACCUGAGUCUUCAGGUUACGGGGGGAGUAUGGUUGCAAAGCUGAAACUUAAAGGAAUUGACGGAAGGGCACCACCAGGAGUGGAGCCUGCGGCUUAAUUUGACUCAACGCGGGGAAACUCACCCGGGCCGGACACCGGUAGGAUUGACAGGUCGAAUGUUCUUUCUCGAUUCGGUGGGUGGUGGUGCAUGGCCGUUCGUAGUUCGUGGAGCGAUCUGUCUGGUUAAUUCCGAUAACGAACGAGACUCUAGCCUAUUAACUAGCUCGUCGGUGUCGCCUCGUAUCGACGCUCGGUUGUUUCUCCCUCGGUUGGCCUCUUGGCGCGUUCGUCGCCUGCUAUCCGACAAUCGCUCCGUCCCUCGUCGCGUGAAAGUCGUCGUCUCUCCUCCCUCCCAGCGGGUCGGAGUAGCGGUCGGCCGAUCGUUUCGUUGGGUCGCCAGCGGUCUGGGCUAGUGUGUGGUGUCGUUCGCGUUCAUCGAUCGUAGCGCGAGGAAGACGAGGACGGUCGAACGUGCGAUGACCGGUCGAACCUUAUCGCUUCUUAGAGGGACAGGCGGCGAUUAGCCGUACGAGAUCGAGCAAUAACAGGUCUGUGAUGCCCUUAGAUGUUCGGGGCCGCACGCGUGCUACAUUGAAGGAUGAAAGGUGGCAAGCCUCCUUGCGCGAAAGCGUCGGGAAAUCGCUGAACCUCCUUCGUAAUUGGGAUCGUACUUUGGAACGAGUUCGUGAACGAGGAAUUCCUCGUAGACGCGGGUCACCAUACCCGCGUCGAUUAAGUCCCUGCCCUUUGUACACACCGCCCGUCGCUACUACCGAUCGAACGGUUCGGUGAGGUCAUUGGACCGACUGACGAUGUUGCUCGACGUUGAUACUUGUGGCUCCUUGGUUAUCGGGUCGUCCACUGGUCCGGUGUACCUUCGAGUCGCUGUCCUUUGUCUUGAAUGUCAAAGUUUCGUGAAGAUGAUCGAACCCGAUCGUUUAGAGGAAGUAAAAGUCGUAACAAGGUUUCC
rnacentral:rRNA from 1 species